CUUCUUCUUCUCUCUUUUCUUCUUCAUCAUCUCUCUGCAGUAGAAAUACAAUUUAGAACUUGACUGAAAUUUUUCUCGGGUAAACUGACGAGUUUGAUGCAUGGAUUUGCUGCUGAAUUUAGUAUUGGUUAGUCGUAAGAGCAGAGUGAUGGAAUUUGUUCGUGCCUAUUCUCAAUUUGAGAGUUAUAAGAACAAAAUCGGAGGUUUAUGAAUGAACCUUGUGAAGUACAGGGUAAGUGAAGUUACCGAUGCCUGAUGUUGUUGAUGUUGGGGUUCAUUAAGCGGGGGAGGGGAUCCCUUCUCUCAGUUUUAAGUUUUGGAACUAUUUUUAGAGUGGAAGAUGAUUUGAUUAAAUGGGAUUGCUAUUGUUUGAAAAAGGAGAGAAAUAAAGAGCUAUUGACGGCACUAGGAGUUGGUGACUAAAAUGGUAAGGUUCGUGCUUGGAGGGUGGUUGACAAAUUGUCUCAACAAAAUCCCUUGUGAUUUGAAGGAACUAAUGCACGGACUCUUCGGCAACAUCCUUGUAGUAUGUUUUAACUGGCAGUACUCAAUUCUAGCCAUCACGGGGGUUGGACAUCUAAAAUGGUAUUGCACUUUGAAUUUUAUUAUCUAGUUUAGUGACUAAUAUGUGAUCUUGUGUGGGAAUGUUUGCCAUUUUUACUCAAGACUAGCUUUAUGGACUAAGGCAAAUGUUUAAAUGGAAUUAUUGCAAGUAUAUCACUUGGUCGUUGAUGGAUUAGCACGGCGCUCAUUUUAUUCACAAUUUUUGUGUACACUUGGUUUAUUUUGUCUUAUCAUCAAAUGCAGUGGCUUAGUGUCCGAAUUGAGAAUGAUUAGAUGCGUAUGGGGUUGCUAAUGUUUCUUCUAAUUAUCGAGGUUCAACUGUAUGUACUGAUGGGUAUUUUUAUUAAAACCGUACCGUCGUUCUGAAAGCCUGUAUGGUCUGGUAGCUUGAUAAAUUUAAUCCUGGUAUGAAAUGAAAUUCUGAAA